rnacentral:lncRNA from 1 species
UCCAUUUGCACUGUAGUCGAGCAAGGGCUUCCCGUACCUGCAGAGCUUGAUGACGGACCCUUGAUGCCGAACAUUGAGGAAGACUAUAUCGAGUCAGGUGUGUCUUUGCCUAUACCUAUGUUGAGGGGCAUGUGGUUGCCCAACUGCGGGAUAUCAUCUUUGGGGAAACAUCCCACCCAUCUGAAAUGGAAGCUUGCAUCCACUCUCAUUGUUUUCCGGGAACUAUGCAGGAUCAGAUCCGAUACCUGUUCCUGGAUCUUGGCGUGAAAGAUGUGAUAGUGGGAAGUUGGCAGUUGUCAAAGGCAACAAAGUCCCCAAACGUGGAGACAUUGUUCUUGGUGCUCAUCUUGUCACUUGCCAGGAUUUCAAAUGGGGCAGAUACGGAGACCAUGAUUGGUGUCCAGCAAUAACCCGAGUAUAUGAUUAUGCGCGCGGACGACAGCUGAAGGAAGUGUUCGGUGCUUCUGCCAUCUGUUACUCUUGAUUCACCCUCGUACAAUACACGCUCUGCAUUGAAUAACAACUGUUUUGUAUGUCCUGUCUCGACUUGAAGGGUGCAUACGAUCGGGUCAACACGGAAUUUGCUGUGGGAAGCCUUGCGGCACCUUGUGAUUGUCGGCCGCAUGCUUGCUACUCUCUAGUCUCUGUAUGCCGACUGCACUCUUGCCAUGAAGAUUGUUGAUUGGGUUGGCCGCUGCCUGCCCUCUUUGACUGGCUUGAGCGGGAUUGCCGCUGAGUCCUAUAGGACAGCUAGAGUAACUACACAGUUUGAGAUGUUCUCUGAUGAGCUGCACAAGCAUCAAGGGUUUAAGGUCUGCUAAUCCUACAUGUGCAGUGGUGCAAAGGCAUUGGCGGUUGCUUGCUCGGUGGUACAUAUGUAGAGCAUAUAUGGGAAGUUAGUCGAAACAUGGGCCG